rnacentral:lncRNA from 1 species
CCCGAUGAAUGGUGAACGAGCUUUUGUUCAAUUUUCUAAGAGGGAAGAAGCUGAGGCUGCUUUAAAAGCACCAGAUGCUGUGAUGGGCAACCGCUUUAUAAAGCUUUUCUGGGCAAACAGGGAUAGCAUUAUGGAUAAUGGAGCAAGUGGUCCUAGUAAUUUUCCAUUAGCUCCCCGCGGUGGGACACCCAGUACGGUUCCACCCCAUCUAUUGGUUCCUCAUAAAAGGAAAGACAAUCUGCAGACUGUAGCCCGAAAAACUGCUGAACAUGGUAUUGUUGCUCCGUUAGCCACCUCUGAUCUGCCCAAGCCUGUGGCUCAGAAUGGUCUCAAAACUACACCACCUUUGAAGAGAAAACUGGAAACUUUAGAACUUCUGAAGGAAGAAAUGCGCAAGAAGCAGGAGAUGCUUGAGCAAAAGCGUAAUGAGUUCCGACGCAAGUUGGAUAAACUUG